UGGGGAAUUUUGGACAAUGGGCGCAAGCCUGAUCCAGCAAUGCCGCGUGCAGGAAGAAGGCCUUCGGGUUGUAAACUGCUUUUGUCAGGGAAGAAAUCUUCUGGGUUAAUACCUCGGGAGGAUGACGGUACCUGAAGAAUAAGCACCGGCUAACUACGUGCCAGCAGCCGCGGUAAUACGUAGGGUGCGAGCGUUAAUCGGAAUUACUGGGCGUAAAGCGUGCGCAGGCGGCUUUGCAAGACAGAUGUGAAAUCCCCGGGCUCAACCUGGGAACUGCAUUUGUGACUGCAAGGCUAGAGUACGGCAGAGGGGGAUGGAAUUCCGCGUGGUAGCAGUGAAAUGCGUAGAUAUGCGGAGGAACACCAAUGGCGAAGGCAAUCCCCUGGGCCUCGUACUGACGCUCAUGCACGAAAGCGUGGGGAGCAAACA
rnacentral:rRNA from 1 species